UGAUUUGAUACUUUAAAUAAAAGAAUUGAUUUGCGUUCAAAAAAUGGAUAAGAUAUGUGCCUCAGAUCAA
rnacentral:tRNA from 1 species